rnacentral:rRNA from 2 species
UGCAUAUCAAUAAGCGGAGGAAAAGAAACCAACAGGGAUUGCCCUAGUAACGGCGAGUGAAGCGGCAACAGCUCAAAUUUGAAAUCUGGCCUUCGGGUCCGAGUUGUAAUUUGCAGAGGAUGCUUCGGGUGAGGUGCCUUCCAAGUCCCCUGGAACGGGGCGCCGGAGAGGGUGAGAGCCCCGUACGGUUGGCGGCCAAGCCUGUGUGAAGCUCCUUCGACGAGUCGAGUAGUUUGGGAAUGCUGCUCUAAGCGGGAGGUAGACCCCUUCUAAAGCUAAAUACCGGCCAGAGACCGAUAGCGCACAAGUAGAGUGAUCGAAAGAUGAAAAGCACUUUGAAAAGAGGGUUAAACAGCACGUGAAAUUGUUGAAAGGGAAGCGCUUGUGACCAGACGUGCGCCGGGGUGUUCAGCGGGCGUUCUCGCCCGUGCACUCGCCUCGGCGCAGGCCAGCGUCGGUUUGGGUGGGGGGAUAAAGGCGCCUGGAAUGUAGCUCCUUCGGGAGUGUUAUAGCCAGGCGUGCCAUGCCUCCGUCCGGACCGAGGUACGCG